CAGUCGCCGCGGGAAUACGAAGGGUGCAAGCGUUAAUCGGAAUUACUGGGCGUAAAGCGUGCGUAGGCGGUGAGUUAAGUCUGCUGUGAAAUCCCCGGGCUCAACCUGGGAAUGGCAGUGGAUACUGGCUCGCUAGAGUGUGUCAGAGGAUGGUGGAAUUCCCGGUGUAGCGGUGAAAUGCGUAGAAAUCGGGAGGAACAUCAGUGGCGAAGGCGGCCAUCUGGGACAACACUGACGCUGAGGCACGAAAGCGUGGGGAGCAAACAGGAUUAGAUACCCCGGUAGUCCCUGUCUCUUAUAC
rnacentral:rRNA from 1 species